UAAUAUAUUAGUUAAUAAUAAUUAUGACAAUAAUCUAUUAAGUACUUUUUAGUAAUUUGUUACAAUCUAAUUCAUUCCGAUUCCGAUUCCGAUUCUAAGACAAAGUAAACACAUUAAUAGCAAUCCAGCUCAUUCCGAUUUCGAUUCUUAUAGUUCAAGUAAACAACUUAUUUUGAUUCUCAUUCCCUAUAACCAUCUAACUCAUUCUCAUUCAUACCCAUUUCGAUUCCAGUUUAGUAAACGCAGCAUUAAUUUCUUCCUUCUUCAGCUGGGAAUUAAUUAUUACAAGGCAUUAAUGAUGAGUUGACCAUACGCUGUCAAGACCAUUCAUUGCCCAAAUCUGGCUUUAAUUUUCAUUUUAUUGAAAAAAUAUCGAGUGAUAAAAUUUUUCUUAAUGCUAUUUUGGGAAAGCAUUAAUGAUACAACCCUAAGUAAAAUUCAGUAGAGUACUCAUAAUUCAUAACCUUGAUGUCAUCCAUCGAGGUACUCUUACAUUGAUAUUGGGGCAAUUCAAUUCAAAAGAGACGUUCCAUGCUUCAUUUUUUUUUCCCUCUUUUAGUAAAAUCUCAAUGGUAAGAGAGUGUUUUAAACUAAAAAAACACCUAUAGUCAAGGAGGUAACGCUUAAAUUUAGAGUGAAGAAAAAUCUGACAAACGCACAUCAAAGAAUAAAGAAAAAAUAUAAAAACCACAAUAUCCAACAAAGGUUGCACUAAAACCAAAACUCAAGCUCGCAUAUGAUUCAUUCGUUAUUAAAAGACUAGGGGGGAAAAAAGGGAAAGAGAGAUAACCCUAGCUAAUUACAUUCAGCGAAGAAUCAAGCCCAAAUUCUCUUCUUCAGCCAAGUUGGUAAUCUUUAGCAUAGCUUGAAAAUUGUGAGAGUUCCCGACCAUCAUAAUUCUCCCAUUCUUUUUAAGCCCCCAAAAUUCAUUAGCUGAGACAAAGAAUGAACAACCAUUGCAACAAAAUAGCACCUCAUCCUCAGAAAAUGUCCACCUGCUACUCAUCCUCAUCAUAGUUCCAGACUCCAUUAUCAAACGCAGUAUCUUCAACAUCCUUUAGAAUAUCAAGCUUAAACUCAUGCAAACAAAAUGUAUUAAUUAGUUUUGUCGCUCUAAAUAUUAUAUUGUUUUUAAAUACACUUUUAUUCA
rnacentral:lncRNA from 1 species